ACAUAUAUAUAAACAAGUAAGUGACAGUGAGUAAUGCUCGGGAAUGCAUUGAGAGUCGGUGGCAAAGAAACGACAAUGACAUCAAUCAUCAGCCGCACGGAGGAAGGUCCUGCACCGGCUUUUUUUAUACACAUGUGACGUACAAUAUGAUAAGAUACCGUUUCUGAGAUAGCUAGUUAUGUCCUUCGCUGAUCAUCUAUUUUGAGCAGUGGAAAGACUUUUAGACCAGUACUUUUAACCUUUGAAAAUGGUAAAAAGAGAAAAAACCAAAGAAAGAGAAUACAACGAAAAUGAAAGGACAAAUAAAUUACGAGCAAUCUGAGGUCGGGAAAGUGGUGGUGGUUGUAAGGGUAAAAAACUGUUUAUCUCGAUUUCUGGCUUAACUACAAGUUUUAUGGAAAGAAGUUCAAUGGCAAAGUUAUAGUUUCUAAAAAGAUCUACAACAUUUAUAUUUACACUUUUUUCGCAUAACUUCAAAAUAAAUGUGAAAAAUUCAGAAA
rnacentral:misc_RNA from 1 species